AGGGAUCAUUACCAGAAGCCGCGCCGGCCGCAAGGUCGGCGCCUUCGCCCAACCCUUUGUGAACCGAAUUGAUUGCCCCGGGGGACCCCGCGCGAGCGGGCCCCCGGCGGACCUCUUCAACUCUUGUUGUCCCUGCCGUCCGAGUCAUUGCAAAUGAAACAAAACUUUCAACAACGGAUCUCUUGGUUCUG
rnacentral:misc_RNA from 1 species